UUGCUUCAGCAGCACAAACACUAAAAGUGGAAUGAUACAAAGAAGAUUAGCAUGGCCCCUGCGCAAGGAUGGCUUGCAAAUUCAUGAAGUGUUCCAAAGUCUU